AUUGAACGCUAGCGGGAUGCUUUACACAUGCAAGUCGAACGAAUGGCGGACGGGUGAGUAGUAUAUCGGAACGUGCCCCAUCGCGGGGGAUAACUACUCGAAAAAGUGGCUAAUACCGCAUACUGUUCGCUCGGCCGCUAUAGGAUGAGCUAGUUGGUGGGGUAACGGCUCACAAAGGCAACGAUGCGUAGCUGGUUUGAGAGGAAGACCAGCCACACUGGGACUGAGACACGGCCCAGACUCCUACGGGAGGCAGCAGUGGGGAAUUUUGGACAAUGGGGGAAACCCUGAUCCAGCCAUCGCGCGUGUAUGAGAAGGCCUUCGGGUUGUAAAGUACUUUUGGCAGAGAAGCGGUAUCUGCAGAAGAAGCCACGGCUAACUACGUGCCAGCAGCCGCGGUAAUAC
rnacentral:rRNA from 1 species